rnacentral:rRNA from 1 species
UCCAGACUCCUACGGGAGGCAGCAGUCGGGAAUAUUGCGCAAUGGAGGAAACUCUGACGCAGUGACGCCGCGUAUAGGAAGAAGGUUUUCGGAUUGUAAACUAUUGUCGUUAGGGAAGAUAAAAGACAGUACCUAAGGAGGAAGCUCCGGCUAACUACGUGCCAGCAGCCGCGGUAAUACGUAGGGAGCAAGCGUUAUCCGGAAUGACUGGGCGUAAAGGGUGCGUAGGUGGUUUGACAAGUUGGUAGCGUAACUCCGAGGCUUAACCUCGGCACUACUACCAAAACUGUUGGACUCGAGUGCAGGAGGGGCAAAUGGAAUUCCUAGUGUAGCGGUGGAAUGCGUAGAUAUUAGGAGGAACACCAGUGGCGAAGGCGAUUUGCUGGACUGUAACUGACACUGAGGCACGAAAGCGUGGGGAGCAAACAGGAUUAGAUACCCCAGUAAAG